rnacentral:rRNA from 1 species
UACGAAGGGUGCAAGCGUUAAUCGGAAUUACUGGGCGUAAAGCGUGCGUAGGCGGUUUGUUAAGUCUGUUGUGAAAUCCCCGGGCUCAACCUGGGAAUGGCAAUGGAUACUGGCAAGCUAGAGUGUGUCAGAGGAUGGUGGAAUUCCCGGUGUAGCGGUGAAAUGCGUAGAGAUCGGGAGGAACAUCAGUGGCGAAGGCGGCCAUCUGGGACAACACUGACGCUGAGGCACGAAAGCGUGGGGAGCAAACAGC